GCGCUGCUAUGCUUGACAAAAGUGCCCCAAAUUAUCUUGGAUUUUUCCUUUUAUAGAUGAGACAAAAUACUAAAAAGUCUUCCCGAUUUUUCCAAAUUUGGCAAAUCAUAGAAUUCCACUUUUCAGUGAAAUUGUGAAAUACACCCUCACCGCAAUGCGCCACUAUCGCGGUGAGCCACUAGAUUUAGACAAUUAUGAAAUAUCCUUCCUUCGCGAUGCACUAAACUUCCAGGCCGCACAAAUUGGCAAUUGGGCCUGCACCGCGAUGCGGUGAAAUCACAAACCUACACUGGAAAGUGACAAUUAUGACUUCCUUCUUCCCCGUGAUGUGGCAUAAUCACAGACCAAUACUGGAUUUUUCCAAAUGGGAAUUUGAGCCUCUCCGCGAAGCACCACUAUCGCGCUCCUCUACUGAAAUUUGACCAAUGUCAUUUUGGUGGUCGGCACGAUGCGGAGACUCUGUAAAUGAGAAUUUAUGACUUUCAGCUUGCCUUUUUGAGCUAUAUUUCAAUACCUUUUAUCCUUCAAUCAUUCCAUAUCAUCACUGUAUCCAAUUGCAUCCAAUUCUUCAAGAUUUUAGCCUGAAAGCACUAAUCAUAUCCAUUAGGCAAGAAAUAGAAUUAAAACUGAAAUAUACUCAAGAAUUUACAUCAAAGUUCUCAAAAUAAGUCCAAAUCUGGGUGUAUAUUGGUGCUUUGAACAUAUAAAUAUGCCCAAGAUCACCACCCUACACUUAAAACCUUGUUUCUCCUGGAACAAUUUAAUUCAAAAGCACAAUCACUUCCUCUUUACACCACAAUCUUAAAGUUAUGUUGCAAUGGGUACUUACACUUUGCAAUAUUAUAUCUCACACAAACAUGUCAUAACACUUUUAGCACAUGAGAUAAGUUAUUUCAAAUUUUUCUAUCUUAACAAUGAAUUUCCAAUAUAUCGGUGAACUCAAUUUAAGUACUCAAUAUAGAAACACAACAAGUACCCCGACUUUCAUCCGCAUGCAUCAUCUCUCAAAGAAAGCUUCUCUAUACUUAACCCACAAUAAUAUCAAUGCACAAAUAAGGGGAGUAUCAAAAUCAAUUCUCUCUCUCUCAACAAAGAAUUUAUACAUUUUAGUUAAUAAACCAUAAGCUUGCGUUUAGUGUACUACUCAACUAAUAGUUGGAUGUUGGGAUGGACGAUCAACUAGGUAUUUUUGGGUUUUAAUAAAGGCUAGGGGAUGGGUAGGCGCUAUUUGGGAAAUAGUGACUAUCGCACCUAAGCGCUUUAAUAUAAUGACUAUCAAUUACAACAUUUUUUAACACCCCAAUUACAUUACUAUUAUCUCUCCAUUCUUUUAUUUUUCACCCCCCUUUUUCAUUUAGCUUAUUCACUAAAACCAUGGUAGGAGUAUUAAAUUUUUCCUAAAAAAUUCUUUCCUUUUUUCAGACCAAUUUUAUGCUAGCAUCCCUAUUAUAGCCACCCCAACUUAAGCAACUUGCUUUCGUUAAGGUGCACAAUAUCCAAAAUAGACCAGGGCCAAAAUAGGUUCAUUGUAAUAUUUCGGGCUCAAAUUAGAAACUUUUUAAAGAACAAUUCCUUCUUUAAUAACUCCCAACCAUACUACAGACUUUCAAAAUCAAUAUCCCUACUUUGGGGCUUCAAUUUCACCUUUUCUUUCUUAUUUUUCAAAAUCCUAACUUCUCUUAAUUUUAUACUAAAAUGCUUAGGAGCUUAUUUGGAUCAAAUUAAGAUUUAUCAAAGAAAGAAUAGGGCUAUAUAUACGGCUACCAAAGAAUAGGCUAAAUAUGCAAUGGGGCUGACUAGGACUAUGCACAAGGGUAGGUAUAUUUAGGCUAAAAACAUGGCUGUCAAAGAAAUGCUUACAUCACUUCGUACACCCAACACCUUUAUUUCCCUUUAUAAACACACCGGACAAGUUCUAGAUAUUCUUAUACAUGUAGAAUAUAAGCAAAUCUUCACACACAUAAUUCAUGCAUGAAAUUAAAUUGAGUCCUUAAGGUUCCCAAUCUUGUCCUUUAUUGAAUUCAAAAUUAAGCUAACAUAUCAAAUUUUACCUAUCGAGAUUAAACCAUUUGUACUUAAAUCCCUUCUUAAAAUCAAGACACUUUUAUGUUUUAAACUCCAAUUUAGUUCAAAUUACUGUAAAGAUGAUCCACUCCAUACAUUCCUCUAAGAUAGUGAUUAGGUUCUUGUUUAUUAUUUACUUCUUAUGACCCACUCCCCGUAAGACGAUCAUCAUCCAUCUAUCAUAGGGGAGGGAAACUAACUAUGACUAUUUAUUUUGAAUUGCCAAAAAGGGCAAAAAUAAAUACUUGAAACUCAAAUUUGCAUUGAGGCAAAAAUGAUAAUAAAAACAAAUACUUUGAACUAACAACAACAUGCGAUAAAUGCCAAAGAGGGAAAAAUUGCAAUCCACAAAUUUACUAAUUAUUACAGACCAAUGUUAUGAAUAGCUAGAACUUGCGAAAACUAACAAAAUAGAAAAAUAAAAAUUGUUCAGCCAGAAAGAAAUAACAUGAAGCAGCAAAAGACGAACCCACCACCCCUCACUUAAAUAAAGAAUUGUCCAAGUGCUUUCACAUAAGCAUAUGGUAGGGUGGAAGCAUACUCCCUGGACACUCAAACGGAACUAUGGUAGUCAUUUCAUCAGUAGUCCCACCCACAUCAUCGCCAUCAUCAUUAGCUCUAUCAUCAGACUGGUCCUCUUCAUCUGAGUCCCUAUAUUUAUGCCUAUCAUCAGUAGGAAUGUCAUUGUCAGCAGGCUUCAUAAAGUCUGGUUCAAUUCGCAAAAAGGUUUUAGCAUGAUGCCCAAGGGGGUAAUCUAAAUCAAUAGCUCAAAGCUCCUCAAGUGUGGUUGGUCUGCCCCUAAUAUUCAGCUGUAAUAUUUGAAGACAAUACAUUCUAGCUAAAAUCUUAUCAGCUUGGGUCUGGUGCUCAACCAUGGUCAAAAUUGGGCCACUUUCCCCAGAUGCGCUCCUGGCUAUAAGUGAUAUCCAUAGGGUGAGUCAAAACAUUGGGCUUAUAGGCCAGCUCCUCCUCAUCUACCCUGUGACUUUGAAGAAAUUGGGUCACCAAUCCUCUAAAACCAAAACUGUGCCCCACUUAGGUGGACACCUUCUUUAUAGAAGAAAAAAUUGCACACCCCACAUUAACAUCAACAUCAUCACACAUCAGCGCAUAAAUCAAACAUACUCGGUCCCUAGUAACCUCCAUCAUAUACUUGCCUUGAAUCAAGCAAAAGUAGAAAAUGCAACCCCAUAUCUUGGCCUCUUUGUUCAUAUGAGCAUAAAGAAAAGACGAAUGUAGGCUAGUGACACGAUACCUAGUCCAAUGAGCUAAGGAACGUACCCCGCACAAUAAAUGCCUAAUGUAAGCAUACGAGGGAGUGACAAUGAACUGCCUCAAGAAGUUUGGGCUUACCUCUGAUAUACCCAACAACUCAUUAAUAUCUGCAGCAGUGAACCGAAUUACCUUCCCAUGAAUCUUCAACUCAUGAUCAGUGUCACUUGGGUCCAGUUGGCGUAAAACUCAUGAACUAAGUGCAGAUUGCACUCAAUAGGUUAAUGAAAGGUAAAAUUCAUAUUUAUUGCCUCAAUUCAUCGUACCAUGGAUGGGCAUUCCCUUAGUAAGCUUGCCCGAUCGAUGAACACCUCGGGGAUGUAUUUGGCAUCAGUAUGCUUUGAGUACAACUAUUUUCUAGAUUUGGUAACAACCUUAAAUCUAAAUUUUUGAACCUGCCCACAUUGAAGUGGUGGAGCCUGAGGUACCCUAGUGAGUUGGCUUUCAGACGGCCUGCUCCAUUUCCUUGCCGGUGCAGAAUUACUGGCCUUUGCCUUUUCUUUGAUUGGUUGAGGCUCCAUAAUACUUGUAUGAAACCACAGAUUCAACAAACAAUUAAGUAGGUGAAAUAGAGGUGGACCUAGCUUCAACUGAGUGGGGAACAGGGGUAAAUGACCACCCUAUACUUUUUUGUUAGCUAUGGCACAUUCAUCAAAAUAUAGGGUACUCAGACUUCCACUUUGUAACACCAUUAGCACAUGUAAAUAUGUCAUAUUUCUCGUAGGGACAACUAUCAGAUAAGCUAAAGUAAACCAAGAUGAUACAUAUAUGCAUUACUCCUGCUGUUUCAUUUACAUGUAAAGUACCCUGCUUAGUGUUGUGGUACCACCUAUUCUGAAGCCAUUACCCUAUAGUCCCUAUGGCAAUUCAUCACAGCUGACCAUAAUAACGACCCCCUCACACAUAACAUAUGUCCUAGUCCCACAUUUGUACCAACUACAGGGUAAUCAAAUUAGUUACAGCACAAACAUGAAGUUCAGUUCUAAUUAAUUCUAAGCAAAGAUGGGACAGAUAGCUGAAUUAACACCUAUAAAAUUAAGUCGAUAGUCAUUCUCUCGGUAAAAAGUAUUUUCAUAGAUAUUCAAAUAAAAUUACUAAGGAAGAGAAUAUGAACAUUACUAAUUCGAUGAAGCAUUUCGUAUAUAGGGGUAUUCACAUAAAAUUUGACUGAAUCAACGAAAUAUGACAACAUUCCAAAAUUAAGGUGCUCCAAUGCAAGAGAAAUUAGAAGCACAUUGAAACCACAAGAACCAGCCCUCCUUUUUUGCACAUUGAUGCGCAUCACAUAUCCUCAAAUCAGUGAAAAUUCCAUAAUAAUAAGUGAAAUUUACCCCAUGAUUAGCAAAUCAGACAGUGUAUAUACACAACCAAAACAUAAAGUAUAAUCAACAAGAUUUCAUCCUAAGAACCCAAAAUUGAAAACCCCUAAUUUCUAAACCUCAUUGCUUCACACAUCUAGUGGCAACACCUCUAUGCCCACACAUCUCUCAACAGUUAAUAGACCAAAGUAGUAAAAAAAAAUCUCCCAAAUCAAAUAUGAAUAUACCUUGUACUCUACCUAUUCCUCCGUCAGCUUACCCAUUAAUCAAAUAAUCAUAAGAUUAUGAAGACUAUGAUGAAGGAAUCACAAAAAUUUCAAGAAAAUCGGAGUAUACAGCGCUAUAAUGUACAAGCAUAAAACAAUAAAACCACAUCAUGCCUAGGAGUAUCAAAAUUCUUAAAAUAACAAAAGAAAAAUUGAAGUCUAUAAGCACUUAACUCAAUAGUUGAGAGAAGGAUGAAAAAUUGAGGGAAUUUUGAGAGAAUUAGUUGGUGUAUGGGGAUGGGAGGAGGCGCUAAAGAAUAAAAAUAAAGGGGUUUAGGGUUUAGAGGGGUAUAUAUAGAGGGGCGGGUCGGGGUAGGUUAAUUUAAAAUUUUAUGUCUGAUUUUUACCCUCUCCACGAUGCGAUGGUAUCAC
rnacentral:lncRNA from 1 species